GCAGCAGGCGCGCAAAUUACCCACUCCCCGGCACGGGGAGGUAGUGACGAAAAAUAACGAUACGGGACUCAUCCGAGGCCCCGUAAUCGGAAUGAGUACACUCUAAACCCUUUAACGAGGAUCAAUUGGAGGGCAAGUCUGGUGCCAGCAGCCGCGGUAAUUCCAGCUCCAAUAGCGUAUAUUAAAGUUGUUGCGGUUAAAAAGCUCGUAGUCGAAUUUGUGUCCCGCGUCGCCGGUUCAUCGUCCGCGGUGUCAACUGGCGUGUCGUGGGACGUCCUGCCGGUGGGCUUGGCUCGCAAGGGCCGUAACCCAAUACAAUCCCGCCGCGGUGCUCUUCACUGAGUGUCGAGGUGGGCCGGCACGUUUACUUUGAACAAAUUAGAGUGCUUAAAGCAGGCUAAAAUUUCGCCUGAAUACUUUGUGCAUGGAAUAAUGGAAUAGGACCUCGGUUCUAUUUUGUUGGUUUUCGGAACCCCGAGGUAAUGAUUAAUAGGAACGGAUGGGGGCAUUCGUAUUGCGACGUUAGAGGUGAAAUUCUUGGAUCGUCGCAAGACGAACAGAAGCGAAAGCAUUUGCCAAAAACGCUUUCAUUGAUCAAGAACGAAAGUUAGAGGUUCGAAGGCGAUCAGAUACCGCCCUAGUUCUAACCAUAAACGAUGCCAGCUAGCGAUCCGCCGACGUUCCUCCGAUGACUCGGCGGGCAGCUUCCGGGAAACCAAAGCUUUUGGGUUCCGGGGGAAGUAUGGUUGCAAAGCUGAAACUUAAAGGAAUUGACGGAAGGGCACCACCAGGAGUGGAGCCUGCGGCUUAAUUUGACUCAACACGGGAAAUCUCACCAGGCCCGGACACCGGAAGGAUUGACAGAUUGAGAGCUCUUUCUUGAUUCGGUGGGGGGUGGUGCAUGGCCGU
rnacentral:rRNA from 1 species